GUGCCAGGGAGCUGACAACCAGCUACCACAAGAAAGACUCCUCCUAACUGGAGGAAGUGGUUAACAAAUCUUUGCUACCCCAUGAACCAUCACAUGUGCCCAGGACAGAAGGAUGUACUCAUGUACUUGAGCUCCUACAGCUUCCCACAAUGAACUGCAUGUGUUUCAAGGAUCACAGGAUCUUCUCCUUCCCAGAGGCUAGUGAAGAUUAGAAGGUGGAAAAAAAAACACUCGCAAUGAAAUGUUCUGAGCUCAUGCUGUCCUCCCACACUGACAGAGCACAGAUGAAUGCGUGGAGGCAGACUAUGUCAAAGUGCAGGAAAAAAAAAAAUGACCAGGAGGAGAGAUGGCGGGCUGAGGAGAGGGCUGAAGCUGAAAGGUGGCGACAGCGUGAUGAGAGGAGGAAGGAUUCAAUGCUGAGGCUGCUGGAGGAACAAACUCAAAUGCUCCAGCAUAUGGCUGAGGUGCAGGAAAGGCAGCUAGAGCACAGGCCGCCACUACAGCCCCUGUGUAACCAACCGCCCUCCUCCCCAAGUUCCAUAGCCACCCAGACGCCCAAGAAGGUGAUGGAGGGGGGCCUCCAGCCACUCCACCCCAGAGGAUUGCUCAAGUGCCAGAAGGCUGGCAUUCAAUAAGUUUUAAACUUUUAAAGUGCUGUGUGGCCUCGUCCUUCCCUCCUCCACCACCCCUCCUGGGCUACGUUGGUGGUUAUCCCCCUAUUUGUGUGAUGAAUUAAUAAAGAAUGCAUGAAUGUGAA